rnacentral:lncRNA from 1 species
UUCACAUUACUGACAAGUUGGGUUACUAUGAUGGCAUGAGCCCUCGUAUCUGUGACAUGCUUUCCUCCGCGACUAAAAUUAACCGUCUGCUUGGUUGGGGUUGCAAAUUUUGGCAUAUCAAACACUUCCAGCGAGGAUGGCAGGUAACAGAUUGCACUAAAAGUGAACAGGGAUUUAUUGUAAGCUUUGAAUCAUCGACAGGGCGUGUGUAAUCUCUCUGAACUAUUGACAUUGUGUGUCUAUUAUUACCUAUGUAUGCUACGAUUAUGUGAUGCAGUUGAAAACAGUAAAACACAAAAAAGAAUAUAUUAUCAGUAACUGUAUGUGAAUUGUAUUUAUAUUUCAAUUUACAUAGUUCAUGUGAAUUGUAUUCAUAUUCAUUUAUCUAUCUCCAUUGUUAUGUGAAGCUUAAGCUUUGUGGAGGGGGAGAAGAUUUCUCUAAUCAUAUGUUUUUCUCUCCCAUAAUCUUACAAGAGAUUUUUGUAAUUAUUUUUAAAUUUUUUUGUUAACUAGGCUGAAAAGAAGAAAAUUAUUCCUAAUUUUAAAUGAUCUCACGUAAGAAUAAAAAUGAUUUUAAAUUUAAAAUUCUACUCCAUGAAGAUUUUAGCCUUAUUUCAAGACAGCAAUUGAUUUUUUUUUUAUAUUUAGAUUUUUUUGAAGUUUUCUUAAUCCCAUUCGGCCAACUCUCCUUUGGUAAGUAACAUGACUUUUGUUUAACCAAAUCUGAUGCUAUAUAUGAGAAUCAUCUGUAAGUAAGGAGCAAAACGAUAAACGUACUAACUUUUUUUAACCAAAUCUGAUGCCGUUGAGAUGAUUUAUAUACUUAAUCAUAUUAAUUGGGAACCUUAGUUUUUAUCUAAAUACAAAUGGUUGGGCACGUAUCUAAAUACAAAGAAAUUUUCAUGUAUCGAUUGGUAAGAAAUGGUUUGGCACGUAUCUAAAUACAAAUGGUUGGGCACGUAUCAAUCAUGUAGUUUUUAUCUAAAUACAAAUGUUCAUGUAAAUACAAAUGGUUGAUAGUCAUACUUGAUUUCUUUUACUUAGACCUCUUUAGCAUUUUCAUUUAAUAAAUUUAUAUUAAAAUUUUUAUAUUUAUAAAAAUAAAACAUAUAGCUUUAUUUUAACAUUGUAGGUAAGCAAGAACAAAAAGAUAAUUUUAAUAUUUCAGUUGAUGAUGACAGAUGUUGUCGAUGGUGACAGACGAAGAUGUUGUUGGGGGGCUAUAGGUGACUAUUGUAGAUGAGAAGAGCAGCGACAAGAGGUAAGGACUGCUUUACAUCUGUGUUGAUGUCGAUGCAAAUGCCAAGCAACCCUUUCGUCGCUCUGCAUCUACGUCAGCGUCGAUGUAAUUGUCUAGCGAUGAAAGGGUUAUUGAUACAAAUAUAAAACAUCACUCACCUCUCACUACUACUCUCUUCGUCUACAAUAGCUACUCGAACGACCCUUACAUCGAUUGGCAUCUACGUUAGUGUUGAUGCAGUUGUCGAACUGCUGAUAUAGAUGCAGAGCGAUGCUACUCUACAUCUGUAUCGACGUUGAUGCAAUUGAUAAGCUAUGUCACUUUGCAUCUUCAAAGCAAUAAAAGGAUCGCUUGAUAAUUGCGUCGGUGUCGAUGCAAAUACAAAGUGGCCCUCAUUUUUCACCAUCACUCUCCUCAUUCAUAAUAGCCACCCGCAAUCCCAACGAUAUCAUCGUUCGCCACCAAUAUCGUCUAUCAUCAUCAACUAAAACGUUAAGAUUAUCUUUGUAUCCUUUAUUUUCAUUGUAUAAUUGGAUAAAUAAAAUUAGAUAUUUUAAAGAUUACAAUAUAAAUUUUUUAAUUUUAGAAAUCAGGAUGUUAACAAGGUCUGAUUAAUUAGAUAAUUUGUAAUUAGCUCAUAACACUGUAGACUAUGUAUAUACUAUAACGUGAUCCAAAGGCUGUAACAUCAUCAGAUGCUGAUGACACAUCAGAUCUGCACCACGCCGGCGAGAACGUACGAGCUUUCGUCUUUGGCGGAAGCAGCUUUCGUUCCCAUGGCCUCGUUCGCUCACUUGUCGCCGGUUAUCACCAUCGGAUCACUGUCGAAGCGGUUGGCGUCUCGGAUGGGUAGCCAUGUGCGAUCCCUGUGGGAUUCUGAUGCACGUAAGGGAUUCAAACACUUAGAGAUUAAUCCCAGAGUUACACACUGCGUCGCUGACCUCUUUGUCCUUUGGUUCCUUGUCACUGGGACAGGUAAGGACGGCAACUGAGAUGCUCUUGACUGUUAACGCGGGAGCAGCUUCUCACUGAUCAUUUCAUCAAACAUGUUAUAGCAAGCUCAGUACCCAUCAUUACACCUGUGAAAUCUUGGAACAGGCUGCAGUUCCUGCUAUUCUACCCGAUGCCCAUGAAGAAUUCUAUAGAAAUGUCCUCACAGAACUGGAAUCUUCAGCGGAUGCCAUUUAUACAGGGAUAGAUCAGAUCCAAGUGCCCCAUUGCCACAACAGACCUCAGGGUUCGAUGUUCAUGAUGGUUAGUCUAUUAUAUCGUCCAUUGAUGCGUGGCUUUUUUUUUGUUUAGCUCAUGACUGUUCCAUUCAAUUGUAUUUGUAGGUUGAGGUGAACACGUCCCUUCUACUUGACAAACAAACCAAACGAGAAAAAAAAAAAGGAAGGAUAUGUUUUACUUCAAAGAAAAAUCAAAAGAAGGUGCAAAUUCUUAAACAAAUAUUUCUAAAAUGUUGAUAUUCCUGAACAGGAGAUGUAUUUUUGUAAAUAUUAUGUAUAGGUAGAUCCAUGCUAAAAUUGUCUUUUGGAAUCCAUAAAUAAACCAUUUUUGAAAUUUUCUUUUAAUCAUAUUACCACAAUUCAAAUUGCAGGCAGAGAAUUACCUGCUUAAUUUGUGACCUUCAUGGAGCUGAGGAAAUGCAUAUCACACCCAUCGCCUACAACGAAAGCUCCAGACAGCAGUUAUGCCAUUAAGAUGCAGAUAGCAAGAGACGACUUCUGAAUUUUACCCUUCUGUAAAUCCAUAGCAUACAAUAUAUAAGCAAUAUGGAUAAUAGGAUACUGCAAAUGAAUGGCAAGUGACAGAACUCAAAGUUACUUAUAGCCAAUGUUAGCAAAAGCUAUCAUAUAAAAUCCAGUAAAAACAGAAAGGAGAGCAUUUAUGAAUAUGCAUAGUGUUCUAAUGAAGAAUGUCAUUACUAUGCCCACCAUACUAACGAUGGCAACUAUCUUAUAUGAGUUUUAGGCAUUCGAGAAAAGAUUGGCAAGCCCACUGGGGCAUGAAUACAGAUAGGAGGUCAGAUUUCAGAAAGGUGAACAACAGAAAAAAUUGUCUUGAAACAUUAAAUGAUCCUAUAUGAGUUUUAAAGCAUUUUAAAUGCAGUGCAAUGUAAUAUCAUAAAGAAAGAAUUUAAGAAUGAGCACAUUGACAUUCUUUAGUUGAGACACUAAAAUAAAGUCUCUUGUUUUAAUAAUCAUUUCCUCCGACUACAGAGGUUAUAGAAAUGAAUAAAGGGUAUACAAUGAUCUAUCAAUUUUUUAAUAGGAUUAGACAUAAACAAGUCAACACCACAAUGUUCUUAAAUCUUGAAUAAAGGAGGCAUAGCUUAAAGACUAGUUUAAUCUCCUCAUGGAAAUUAGUUUGUCAUUGUUAUCACUGCAAAUCAGUCUGUAUAAGCAGACAAGUCUAAGGAAUUUUAAGCCUCAUAAUAACAUCACAAAUAAGUCACAUCAAUCCCAAUAUGUCUCUUGAUACGAAGCCCAUCUUCACAAUUCUGUGAUUGUUCUCCAAGUCUACUUCCACUUAUAAGAUCCAUUCCUCAACCCAGUUGAACUUAUUCUGGUAUAAUCAAUAUGUAAUUUCUUUAUUCAUUCUCACAAAAAUAACAAGCAUUUUUCAUAUAUCUCAGUAAUCCAUAAUCCAUGACAUUUCAUGUAGUCCAAUGUUCUUGUUUUAUUUCCAUUUCUAUGCAAGAAUAAACAAAACCUUAUAGCACCUAGCUUUUCUCCAACCGCUAAUCCAACAUCUACUUCUCGGAGGAAGGGUAAGCAUAACAAUCAUCGAAACCCUAAUUUUUCUUUUUCCGCAAGUGAAAUCCAAGAUUCUUUAAUUACAAGAUCAAGAUUUCUUGAGCCCUAAAACUUUCUUACAAGCAAAUUCCUAUAACGAACUACAGCGGAUGAAAACGGAAGCAAGCCCCAAGCAUCUCGAGUUGCAAGAAGGUCAUCAUUGAUCAGUUCGAAGGAAACAGCACAUAGCGAUCAAGAAUUCCUAUAACGAACUACGAUCAAUUAUUGAUCCCAAAAAAGUUUCUUACAAGCAAUUUCCUACGGUGAACCUCCAGGGGACGAACCGAAGCAGGCCCCAAGAAUCUUGAGUUGCAAGAAGAACAUCGCCGAUCAAGAAUUCCUAUAACUAACCACAACAAAGAUGACCAGCAAAUUUACAACAAUCUUGAGUUGCAAGAAGAUCAACGUGGAACGCAAAUGAUUCGUAUAAUCAUAACCCGCGAGCUACUUACCAUCAACAAUUCACGAGCGAUGGAAGAAACAUCUGAAGGAGGCGGAUCGAACCUUGAGGAUGGUUUGGAUCCACGUCCUAGUGAGAUCCCGCAACGGAAAAUGGGAAGGGGGCGGAGAAAAGUGGGGAGGAGAAGCAUUGUAAAACCCUAGGAGGAGAGUUCUUGAGAAUGGAGAUUAAGAUUUUGGUUUCUGCUCCGACGAAUCAGAUCACUCCCAUUUGGUUUCUGCUCCGCCGAAUCAGAUCACUCCCGCCGGUCCUCCCUCUUCGAGUCCUCNNNN